rnacentral:tRNA from 1 species
GGGCAAUUAACUCAGUGGUUUAGAGUGCUACCUUGACAGGGUAGAGGUCGCAGGUUCGAAUCCCGCAUUGCCCA